UACGUAGGGGGCUAGCGUUGUCCGGAUUUAUUGGGCGUAAAGAGCGUGUAGGCGGCCAGGUAGGUCUGCUGUGAAAACUCGAGGCUCAACCUCGAGAUGUCGGCGGAAACCAUCUGGCUAGAGUCCGGAAGAGGAAAGUGGAAUUCCUGGUGUAGCGGUGAAAUGCGUAGAUAUGCGGAGGAACACCGAUGGCGAAGGCAAUCCCCUGGGCCUGCACUGACGCUCAUGCACGAAAGCGUGGGGAGCAAACAGG
rnacentral:rRNA from 1 species